UACGGAGGGUGCAAGCAUUAAUCGGAUUUAUUGGGCGUAAAGGGCGCGUAGGCGGAUAAGUAAGUCGGGUGUGAAAUUCCGAGGCUCAACCUCGGAGCUGCACUCGAAACUGCUAAUCUAGAGGAAUGGCGGAGAAAACGGAAUUCCACGUGUAGCGGUGAAAUGCGUAGAUAUGUGGAGGAACAUCUGUGGCGAAAGCGGUUUUCUAGCUUAAUCCUGACGCUGAGGCGCGAGAGCAAGGGGAGCAAACAGG
rnacentral:rRNA from 1 species